GGGCUUGCGCUCCGCGUUUCGGUGCUGGUCGCGCUCUGGCUGGGCACGAACGUAGAGGUCAGGCUAGGGCUAACGAUGCUAGCUAAGCCGGGGCGCACGUCUGGGAAGUCGUCGUCGUAGUCACCGAUGUCCAUGACCUUCCAGAGGUAAUCCACCCGCCUUGGCCUCCCAAAGCGCUGGGAUUACAGGUGUGAGCCCGGCUGGAAACUGCCACUUUUAAACCAUCAGAUCUCAUUGAGAACUCCCUCACUAUCACGAGAACGGCAUGAGGGAAACCACUCCCAUGAUCUGAUCACCUCCCACCAGGUCCUGCCCUCAACAUGUGGGGAUUACAAUUCAAGAUGAGAUUUGGGUCAGGAAACAGAGCCAAACCAUAUCAACAGCCUCUGGUAACCACUGUUCUACUCAAUACUUCUAUGAGAUAAACUUCUUUGGAUUCCACAUUUGAUCAAGAUCAUGAGGAGGAGCAAGUCUUCUUUUUCAUGCUGUUAAGAAAACACCCAGAGUCACAGCACCAUGAUCUCCUUGUGAAGCAGAACAAGUAAUAUAAAACUGAUCUAAAGAGGCCUCCCCUCUACUCUUAUCUGUCUGGUCGAGUCAUUUGGGGCCAAGUGGGCACCAUUGUGGGAGGGUGGGAGGACUCAUCACUGGGGGCCCAGGCAUCAUUUGCAUGUGGCCUCCUGUGUUAGUCUGUUCUCAUGCUGCAAAUAAAGACAACUUGAGACUGGAUAAUUUAUAAAGGAAAGAGGUUUAAUGGACUCACAGUUCCACAUGGCUAAGGAGGCCUCACAAUCAUGGUGGAAGACGAAGGAAGAGCAAAGGGACAUCUUACAUGGCAGCAGGCAAGAGGGCGUGUGCAGGGGAACUCCCCUUUAUAAAACCGUCAGAUCUCGUGAGACUUAUUCACUAUAACGAGAACAGCAUGAGAAAAACCCACCCCCAUGAUUCAAUUACCUCCCACCGGGUCACUCCCACGUCAUGUGAAGAUUAUUACAACUCAAGGUGAGAUCUGAGUGGGGACACAGAGCCAAAUGAUAUCACCUCCCAUGGGCAGCCUCAUUUCAGGAGCACACCCCAUUGGCAUCAUCCAGGAGGAGGGGGGGCCAUUACUGGCAUCAUGGGACGGCCUGCCAGAUGGGGUGCUGGCAUCAUACCUGGUGAGGAACAGGAAGAGACUGGGGGGAGGUUGGAUCAUCGCUCCUGCAGGAGGAGGAGCAGAGAACAGAGUAGGAGGUGUUCUUCCUUGUUGAGAUGCAGUCUUUGUUCUGUCAGGCUCCGAGCCUGCUCUUCUAUCCAUUUCUGGUAGUAGUCUUUCACAUUCUCUUUGUGUUUCCUUCCACUGCAAUGGUAGGUUCUCACAGAUGGAGAGUCAUGGGUGAGGUAUGUAUUGCAAAGUCACAACAAAACUUAGGCAUGUUGCUCUGUAGCCCGUUGACCGCUCUGUUCCCUGAUUUUGCUUUGUUUUGAUGUGACAUUGAAGCACUGCACAUGCGCAGAGCAGCUAAUAGUUCUCCCCUCUUUGGAUUGUUGGAUGAAAUUAUUUUGAAUUUUAUUUUUUAUUGAUACAUAAUAGAUAUAUGUGCUUUGGGGGUACAUAUGAUAAUUUAAUACAUUUAUAUAACUUGUUAAGAACAAAUCAGUGUAAUUGGGACAGCCACCACCUUAAAUACUUGUCCUUCCUUUUUGCUGGAAACAUUUGUAUUAUUCUCUUAGCUAUUUUGAAAUAUACAAUAGGUUAUUCUAAACUAUAAUCACCCUAGCGAUCUAUGAAACACUACGUCUUAUUUGUUCUGUCGGGUUAAAUGAUUUAAUACCUGCAAUGCUCUUAGCAUUAUGCCUGGCACAUGAUAAAUAAAUAUUAGCUGUCGUUAUUCCGACCCAAAACAAGAACAUUUUUUAUUGUUACAGAAAGAAUAGGACCAUUGAUUAUGUUUCACCAUUUAAGUGGCUAUUAUUUGCGUGCUUUCGACAGUUCUAUCCCAUGUCCUAUACAUUUACGUUCCCCCAGACCUCCCUCCGCUCCAUCAACCUAUUACAACAGGGUGUAAUAAUAUAGACGAACACUAGAGGGCAGCAUGCAAUUGCAAUGAAGAAAAUCGGCACCAGCACACUUGAAAUUCAGACAAGAAGAUAGAAGAGGUCUAGUAUCAAAGGAAAGUGAAAUGUCUUCCUUUAAUAUAGUGUCUUGUAGUAUUCUUCUAUAGGAGGGAAGUAUUAUUACUCUAUCGGAUGAGUAUUCCUACUGGAAGGAUGGCUGCGGCAUUUUUAAAAAUCCUGCCUGUAUGUGCCUGCCAUAGAGAUGUCACAUAACCAUUUCCUCACGUGCUGUUCGCUCCACACCCCAGCUCUCUUGAGAGCACUUAGCUUCUCCCGUGAGCCGGUUCCUCCGAUAGGAGGCAUUUGGAAGCCUACGUUAGUAUAGUGCUGCCUUACAACGCGCUUUAAUGUAAUAUCUAGUCUCUGGGAGGCCCAGGAGUGCUUCAAAUUCUAGGCUUCCCUGAGAUGUCCAGUGCGUUUCUUUUGAGGUGUAUGUGUGCUCACUCGGCGUGAGUUCCUCAGGGGCAGGGAACGUACCCCAUCUUCACCUUUGCGUCCCCAGCAGUUUGCAGUGCUGGGCAUGCCCUGAAGAAGCUGGAUAAUGUCUGUUGGACUAAACUGCUUCAUGAGCUGCAGACAGAACAAGAGGGAAAUUUAUGCUCACUUUAUGCCUGAGCAAUGGGACUCUAAACUGCACCCCAGCCAGUGAAUUUUUUCAUUAUUUUUCUGUAUUAUAAAAACAGUUCAUGCUCAUAAUGGGAAAAUCAUGCAAAAAGAACAUCUAAAAUAUUCAUAAUCCCAUCCAUCCAAUAUUAACCUGGGGAAUACUACAGAUUCUUUUAACCUUAUGUCAGAGUAUAAUAUAUAAAUAUAUGUGUGUGUAUACAUAUAUAUAGUGUUUACAUUUAUGGCAGCAUGGAACACCUAUCUUUUAAAAAUUUUUUUUGAGAUGGUGUCUGUACUCCGUCACCCAGGUUGGAGUGCAGUGGCGUGAUCUGACUUGCUGCAACCUUGGCCUCAUCCUCCCACCUCAGCCUCCUGAGUAGCUGGGACCACAAGCGUGCACCACCAUGCCCAGCUAAUUUUUUGUAUUUUUGGUACAGACAGGGUUUUGCCAUGUUGCCCAGGCUGGUCUUGAACUCCUGAGCUCAGGUGAUCCACCCGCCUUGGACUCCCAAAGUUCUGGGAUUACAGGUGUGAGCCACCGUGCCCAGCCCUACAUCUAUCUUUUUUUCUUUUUUUUAAACUAAUCCCUUUCUUUUGGGAAUUUAAGCUGUUUCUCAAUUUUUGCUUUUCUAAAGAGCAGUCUGGUGAAUAUUCGUGUAGCUAAGUGUAAGCCCACAUUCUUUAUUAGUAUCUUAGGAUAAAUUCCCAGAGGCAGAAUUUCUGGGUGAUGGGUAAUUUACAUUGUCACCAACAGUGACAGUGCCCUUGAUCAGAUGAAGAGUUUUAAUUAAACGUCACACCAGAACUCCAUAAUCUUGUCUCAGUCAUGUCAUCGCUGCUCAAAACAUUUGGUGAACUCUGUUUGGUGAUCCAGGCUAUGACUCAUAUAAGAAAAUAAAUCUUAAUCUCUCA